AGGAUCAUUAUUGAACUUUGAGAGAAGAAAGGAAGACGGAAUGUGUCUAUUGUCGCUGGCUUGCUUUGCAUGUGCACAUCUUCACUAUCCGUCCACCUUUCUCUCAUUCAUUCAUUUACACCUGUGCACCCGUUGUAGCUUCUCUCGAUAGAGAAUCUAUGUUUUUUCGCAUGUCUAUAGAAGAAUGUUAUCAAAGCCUGUCGAUCAGGCUUUGUCCUGGUCGCUUGCUUAAUAAAAUCAUAUAUAACUUUCAGCAACGGAUCUCUUGGCUCUCGCAUCGAUGAAGAACGCAGCGAAUUGCGAUAAGUAAUGUGAAUUGCAGAUUUCCAGUGAAUCAUCGAAUCUUUGAACGCACCUUGCGCUCCUUGGUAUUCCGAGGAGCAUGCCUGUUUGAGUGUCACCGAAUUAUCAACCAUCUCUUGAUCAAUUUCAAGAUCUUGGCUUGGAGUUGGGACUUGCUGGCAUGCUGGGACAAUCCCUAGUCAGCUCUCCUAAAAUUCAUUAGCGAUGGCUUGCUAGUCUUUUGAUGUGCACGGCCUUUCGACGUGAUAACGAUCUCGUCGUGGCUGGAGCGUCUUAUUUAGACCAUGCAUAAAUGGCCCAUGGCUUAUAAUAUUUGAAUUCACUUGUCUUGAAAGUCUACCAAGCUUUAGUUACUAGUCAGUCUACAAGGUCUGGCGAACACAGAGCAAGGUUUUUCUUGACUUGUAUAUUUACCUUUUGGAAGCUUGACCUCAAAUCAGGUAGGAUUACCCGCUGAACUUAAGCAUAUCAAUAAGCGGAGGAAAAGAAACUAACAAGGAUUCCCCUAGUAACUGCGAGUGAAGCGGGAAGAGCUCAAAUUUUGAAUCUGGCGGUCUUUGGCCGUCCGAGUUGUAAUCUAGAGAAGUGUUUUCCGCGCUGGACCCAUGUACAAGUCUCCUGGAAGGGAGCGUCAUAGAGGGUGAGAAUCCCGUCUUUGACAUGGACUACCAGUGCUAUGUGAUGCGCUCUCAACGAGUCGAGUUGUUUGGGAAUGCAGCUCAAAAUGGGUGGUAAAUUCCAUCUAAAGCUAAAUACAGGCGAGAGACCGAUAGCGAACAAGUACCGUGAGGGAAAGAUGAAAAGAACUUUGGAAAGAGAGUUAAAUAGUACGUGAAAUUGCUGAAAGGGAAACGCUUGAUGUCAGUCGCGUCGAUCAGGGAUCAACCUUGCAUUUUUGCUGGGUGCAUUUUCUGCUCAACGGGUCAGCAUCAGUUUGACUUGCUGUACAAUGGUGAAGGAAAUGUAGCACUCUUUGGAGUGUGUUAUAGUCUUUCGUCGUAUGCAGUGAUUGGAACUGAGGAACUCGGCACGACU
rnacentral:rRNA from 1 species